rnacentral:rRNA from 1 species
GGUUUGAUCUUGGCUCAGAGCGAACGCUGGCGGCAGGCCUAAAACAUGCAAGUCGAACGCCGUAGCAAUACGGAGUGGCAGACGGGUGAGUAACACGUGGGAACGUACCCUUUGGUUCGGAACAACACAGGGAAACUUGUGCUAAUACCGGAUAAGCCCUUACGGGGAAAGAUUUAUCGCCGAAGGAUCGGCCCGCGUCUGAUUAGCUAGUUGGUGGGGUAACGGCCCACCAAGGCUACGAUCAGUAGCUGGUCUGAGAGGAUGAUCAGCCACACUGGGACUGAGACACGGCCCAGACUCCUACGGGAGGCAGCAGUUAGGAAUCUUGGACAAUGGGCGCAAGCCUGAUCCAGCCAUGCCGCGUGAGUGAUGAAGGCCUUAGGGUUGUAAAGCUCUUUCAGCGGGGAAGAUAAUGACGGUACCCGCAGAAGAAGCCCCGGCUAACUUCGUGCCAG